AUUUUUUUUUUCUUCUUGUGGUGGCAGGAAUUGAACCCACCGAGCCACAUUCCCAGCUACUUUUAAAUCUUUUUACUUUGAGACAGAAUCUUGCUGAGUUGCCCAGGCUGGCUUCAAACUUGCCAUCUUCCUGCCUCAGCUCUGUAUCGCAGGCCUUUAAACAUGCAAAUCACCGCCACACUCUAGCUGAGCACGGCCCCUGCCCCCCUGCCUCCCGUCCUCCAUGCUGCGUCCCCUUUGCACAGCCCACGACCCUUGGGUCACAGCGCUGCCCCACCUCAUCUCAGAGAGCCCUGGGGACUCUAUCACCCUCGGGACUCUAUCGCCCUCCCUGCCUCUCCCCUCCUGGUCCCCCGUGUGUCCUUCCAGCCCUUGCUACUUGGCAACACAAUAUCUUACUUUCUUCUUCAUAGUUUCUCUUCCUGGCUGGUGACUUGCUCACCAGUCCCUGCACCCAGAGCCCGCUGUACCAAGCCUGCUCCCUGAGGGGUCAGUGUUGUCAAGCCCGGGUCAGCCCUGGGGUACAAGCCCAGGCUGCCCUCGAACUCACCAAAAUCCUCCUGUCUCAGCCUUCUGAGUGCUGAGAUCACAGCAUCUUCCUACUGCAGAUGGGGAAAUGGAGGCAUGAAGAGAGGAAAGUCAAAGCGUGAGGUCACACAGCUCCACACUGGCAGUGCCAGGCUGUUUGCCACACUUUCCUUGGCCAGCACCAAAGGUUCAAAGGGAACUUGAGGCAGCUUCCUCCACAACACACUCAACAACAGCUAAAAAUAGAGCAUGAGAUCAGAAACCAGAGGGGGGUAGGCAGAGGCAAUCCUGUCAGGAACUUGAGGGAUGAAGACAGAUCCUGGGCAGCAUCUUCUGCAGUGAGAAGCAGGAUCUGAAUCAUUGCCUCUUGGAAGUUGCAAAGCAUUCCUCAUCGAACUGCAGCACAAGAAACUGAAAACCGGAGUGCUGUGUAAUCCCAGCACUUGGGAGGCUGAGGCAGGAGGAUCGCCAUGCAUUCAAGGCCAACCUGGGCUACAUAAUGAACUCAAGGCCAGCCUGCACUGCAUGGCAAGACCUUGUCUAAUUAGUAAAUAAAUACAUAGAUAAAAAGUUGCAACCCAGCCAAAGCAGGGCUACGGACAAGUACUAGGGAAUCUCGGUCAUCAUGUUUUGUCUCUGAAAUGUCUGUGGCUGGGAUCUCCCUGCAUGGCCUGAGAUCUCUGCUGAGGCCCAGGCAGCAGAGCCUGGGGUUGGAGGAGGCUGUGAGCCCCAGAAGCCCCAACGAGAAGGGCGUUAGGCUGAACCCAAAGUUCCCCCCGAAGGGACCUGCGGCUCCUCUUAGGGCCCCCCGCCCUGCAAGUCCCCAGUGAGAGUCCAAGCCUGCAGCCCGGCCGGGAGUGCUGGGACAGGGCAGCCACCUGCC
ensembl:lncRNA